GGUUCCAUAGCGUAGCGUUUAGCAUGUCUGCUUUACACACAGAAGGUCCUGGGUUCACACCCCAGUGAAGCCC
rfam:Pteropus alecto contig45687, whole genome shotgun sequence.